GAGUUUGAUUCUGGCUCAGAUUGAACGCUGGCGGCAUGCUUUACACAUGCAAGUCGAACGGCAGCGCGGGCUUCGGCCUGGCGGCGAGUGGCGAACGGGUGAGUAAUACAUCGGAACAUGCCCACUUGUGGGGGAUAGCUCGGCGAAAGCCGGAUUAAUACCGCAUGAGAUCUACGGAUGAAAGCAGGGGACCUUCGGGCCUUGCGCGAGUGGAGUGGCCGAUGGCAGAUUAGGUAGUUGGUGGGGUAAAGGCCUACCAAGCCUGCGAUCUGUAGCUGGUCUGAGAGGACGACCAGCCACACUGGGACUGAGACACGGCCCAGACUCCUACGGGAGGCAGCAGUGGGGAAUUUUGGACAAUGGGCGCAAGCCUGAUCCAGCAAUGCCGCGUGCAGGACGAAGGCCCUCGGGUUGUAAACUGCUUUUGUACAGAACGAAAAGAGCUGGGUUAAU
rnacentral:rRNA from 2 species